UACUCCAGCCUUCGGAAGGGAACCCUACGUAAGACUACACAAGGGCAGGAGGUGGAGUCAAGAUGGCAACAUAGAAGCAGCAAAAGUUCAGACCUCUGAAAACCCUUCCUUACCAAUCACAAACUGAAUGCUCCUAGGGGACUGAAAAUCAAAACUAACAACAAGACAGAGCCAAGGAAUCAUCCUGCUAGACUCAGUUUAAAAGAUGAGAAAACUGGGACUCGGAGCAAUGAAGCAACUUGUCAACAUCACAAGCAUCCAGAAAGCAGGUUACAAUAUGUUAGCACUGUGAAAAAGUAAACCUGAAAGUAUGUAUUUUUUUGUU
rnacentral:lncRNA from 1 species